rnacentral:lncRNA from 1 species
GGCUGGCGCGGGAUUUCAAUUUUUUUUAAUUUUUUAAUACCCCUUUAGUAUUGGUUCUUUCAACCGGUAUUACCGAACAAGUAGUACCGGUUGCACAACCGGUACUAAUGGGGUUCCCAACCGGUAGUGAUGGGGCUUUCCCCACUAGUGAAGGCACCCCACUGAUCAUCGAUGCCUCCUUCUCGCUAGAGUGCCGCCCAUGCACGAGAAUCGAGUCAGCCACCAUCCACCAUCUUCACAAAAUUC